GUAGUUUGACUCCGUGCACGAGGACGACGCUGGCGGCGUGCUUAACACAUGCAAGUCGAACGGAAAGGCCCUUCGGGGUACUCGAGUGGCGAACGGGUGAGUAACACGUGGGUGAUCUGCCCUGCACUUUGGGAUAAGCCUGGGAAACUGGGUCUAAUACCGAAUAUGAUCAUCGGCUUCAUGGUCGGUGGUGGAAAGCUUUUGCGGUGUGGGAUGGGCCCGCGGCCUAUCAGCUUGUUGGUGGGGUAAUGGCCUACCAAGGCGACGACGGGUAGCCGGCCUGAGAGGGUGACCGGCCACACUGGGACUGAGAUACGGCCCAGACUCCUACGGGAGGCAGCAGUGGGGAAUAUUGCACAAUGGGCGCAAGCCUGAUGCAGCGACGCCGCGUGAGGGAUGACGGCCUUCGGGUUGUAAACCUCUUUUCAGCACAGACGAAGCGCAAGUGACGGUAUGUGCAGAAGAAGGACCGGCCAACUACGUG
rnacentral:rRNA from 1 species